rnacentral:misc_RNA from 1 species
GAAAUGCGAUAAGUAAUGUGAAUUGCAGAAUUCAGUGAAUCAUCGAAUCUUUGAACGCACCUUGCGCUCCUUGGAAUUCCUUGGAGCAUGCCUGUUUGAGUAUCAUGAAAUCUUCAAAGUAAAUCUUUUGUUAACUCAAUUGGUUUCUACUUUGGUAUUGGAGGUCUUUGCAGCUUCACACCUGCUCCUCUUUGUUCAUUAGCUGGAUCUCAGUGUUAUGCUUGGUUCCACUCGGCGUGAUAAGUUAUCUAUCGCUGAGGACACUGUAAAAGGUGGCCAAGGUAAAUGCAGAUGAACCGCUUCUAAUAGUCCAUUGACUUGGACAAUACUUUUAUGAUCUGAUCUCAAAUCAGGUAGGACUACCCGCUGAACUUAAGC